rnacentral:rRNA from 1 species
CCUACGGGAGUCAGCAGUGAGGAAUAUUGGUCAAUGGACGAGAGUCUGAACCAGCAAAGUAGCGUGAUGGAUGACUGCCCUAUGGGUUGUAAACUUCUUUUAUAUGGGAAUAAUAUGAUCCACGUGUGGGAUUUUGUAUGUACCAUAUGAAUGAGGAUCGGCUAACUCCGUGGCAGGAGCCGCGGGAAUACGGAGGAUACGAGCGUUAACCGGAUUUAUUGGGUUUAAAGGGAGCGGAGGUGGAUUGUUAAGUCAGUUGUGAAAGUUUGCGGCUCAACCGUAAAAUUGCAGUUGAAACUGGCAGUCUUGAGUACAGUAGAGGUGGGCGGAAUUCGUGGUGUAGCGGUGAAAUGCUUAGAUAUCACGAAGAACUCCGAUGGCGAAGGCAGCCCACUGGACUUCAACUGACACUGAGGCUCGAAAGUGUGGGUAUCAAACAGGAUUAGAUACCCUAGUAGUC